UACGAAGGGGGCUAGCGUUGCUCGGAAUUACUGGGCGUAAAGGGCGCGUAGGCGGAUGGCUUUGUCGGGCGUGAAAUUCCAGGGCUUAACCUUGGGGCUGCGUUCGAGACGGGUUGUCUUGAGUGGGGAAGAGGGUCGUGGAAUUCCCAGUGUAGAGGUGAAAUUCGUAGAUAUUGGGAAGAACACCGGUGGCGAAGGCGGCGACCUGGUCCUUUUACUGACGCUGAGGCGCGAAAGCGUGGGGAGCAAACAGG
rnacentral:rRNA from 1 species